rnacentral:rRNA from 1 species
CCUACGGGAGGCAGCAGUGGGGAAUUUUCCGCAAUGGGCGAAAGCCUGACGGAGCAAUACCGCGUGAGGGAGGAAGGCUCUUGGGUUGUAAACCUCUUUUCUCAGGGAAGAUAAUGACGGUACCUGAGGAAUAAGCAUCGGCUAACUCCGUGCCAGCAGCCGCGGUAAUACGGAGGAUGCAAGCGUUAUCCGGAAUGAUUGGGCGUAAAGCGUCCGCAGGUGGUUUUGAAAGUCUGCUGUUAAAGCGUGCGGCUUAACCGCAUAAGGGCAGUGGAAACUAUGAGACUAGAGUGCGUUAGGGGCAGAGGGAAUUCCCAGUGUAGCGGUGAAAUGCGUAGAGAUUGGGAAGAACACCGGUGGCGAAGGCGCUCUGCUAUACCGUAACUGACACUGAGGGACGAAAGCUAGGGGAGCGAAUGGGAUUAGAUACCCCAGUAGUCCUAGCCGUAAACGAUGGAUACUAGUCGUUGUCUGUAUCGACCCGGACGAGUGCGUACGCUACGACGUUAGUAUCCGUCCGUCGGGUGGUACGCGAGGCGACGUAGUAGAAACGUACGAAAGGAAGUUAGACGGUCGUGUAGACGUUGCCGAACGGACGACGACGAGGGGAGGAGG